AAAGUACUCCCUCCGUCCCAAAAUUCUUGUCUUAGAUUUGUCUANUUCUUGUCUUAGAUUUGUCUAGAUACAGAUGUAUCAAGUCACAUUUUAGUAUUAGAUACAUCCGUAUCUAGACAAAUCUAAGACAAGAAAUUUGGGACAGAGGGAGUAGUUG
rnacentral:pre_miRNA from 1 species